rnacentral:piRNA from 1 species
GACAGAAUGGCGUGCUUGUUGACAAUGGC